GACGAACGCUGGCGGCGUGCUUAACACAUGCAAGUCGAACGGACUACUUUGCUUCGGUAAGGUGGUUAGUGGCGAACGGGUGAGUAACGCGUAGACAACCUACCUCUUAGAUGGGGACAACAUCGCGAAAGCGGUGCUAAUACCGACUGAAGUGACUUUCCUGCAUGGGAGAGAUACUAAAGGUGGCCUCUAUUUAUAAGCUACCACUGAGAGAUGGGUCUGCGUCUGAUUAGCUAGUUGGCGGGGUAACGGCCCACCAAGGCGACGAUCAGUAGCCGGGCUGAGAGGAUGAACGGCCACAUUGGGACUGGGACACGGCCCAAACUCCUACGGGAGGCAGCAGUGGGGAAUCUUCCGCAAUGGACGAAAGUCUGACGGAGCAACGCCGCGUGAGUGAAGAAGGUUUUCGGAUCGUAAAGCUCUGUUGUUUGAGACGAAUGUGCCUGUUUCGAAUAGGGAUAGGUAAUGACGGUAUUAAACGAGAAAGCCACGGCUAACUACGUGCCAGCCGCCGCAGUAA
rnacentral:rRNA from 1 species